UUCAAGAUCUCCCCAGUCCAAAAAUGUAAAAAUGUCUCAAAGUGAGUGAUUUUUUUUGAUUGUAAAUUCAGUAAAGGUAGCAAAAUCCAUAGGCCAGUGAGUUAUUUUAGAAAAAAAAAAACACGUGUAAUUAUUACACUCGUUACGGUGGUUGUAUGUAAAUACUGUGAGGUAUCGUUUACUGUAUCACAGAAUUACGAAUUACAUAAAAAUAUUGUUUUAUACGAAGAAAAUAUAAUUAAAUUUAGAUAUUUUAAAGAACUAUUUUUCCUGAUUAUGACACAAUAGUUGUGUGGCCACUAACAGUUGAAAAAAAUACGUGGGAUGGCGUAAUCAGAUUUAUUUCGAUCAAGCAACUGAACAACCUGCUUAAGUAAAUCGUAAACAAUAUCCAAAAGUUUCUGAGAAAUCUUCAAAAAAAAA